rnacentral:rRNA from 1 species
CUGGCCGUAAACGAUGUCGACUAGAUCGUGGUACCUCUGACGGUUUCACGGUCGAAGCAAAAGUGCUAAGUCGACCGCCUGGGAAGUACGGUCGCAAGGCUAAAACUCAAAGGAAUUGACGGGGGCUCACACAAGCGGUGGAGCAUGUGGUUCAAUUCGAAGCAACGCGCAGAACCUUACCUGGGCUUGACAUGCUUGGAUUAUCCUUAUGAAAGUAAGGUAGGCCCCGCAAGGGGUACAACAAGUACAGGUGCUGCAUGGCUGUCGUCAGCUCGUGUCGUGAGAUGUCGGGUUAAGU